rnacentral:rRNA from 1 species
UACGAAGGGUGCAAGCGUUACUCGGAAUUACUGGGCGUAAAGCGUGCGUAGGUGGUUUGUUAAGUCUGUUGUGAAAGCCCCGGGCUCAACCUGGGAAUGGCAUUUGGGACUGCAAGGCUGGAGUACGGCAGAGGAGACUGGAAUUCCUGGUGUAGCAGUGAAAUGCGUAGAGAUCAGGAGGAAUACCGAUGGCGAAGGCAGGUCUCUGGGCUGAUACUGACGCUCAUGCACGAAAGCGUGGGGAGCAAACGAGG